CUUGGUCAGCAAUCUCUGCACUCCGUCGCGAAAGUUGGAAGGAGGAGAGACUUCUGGCGGGAACAUGCCCUGGGCUGCGUAUCGCUCGCUGUAUCGUGGCUUGUUUUCCCUAGGCAAUCAGUGGGUGACAGUGUCAUUGAUUGUCGAAGGAAUCGCUUAACGAUCACUGGAGGUCGAUCACCGACCGGUGGAUCAAGUCACUGGGCUUCCUACUCGCCCCCUUUUAACCCCACUUUCUAUUGCCGCUCCGCGCUAACACGCCGGGCAAUCAAAAACGUAACUUACAACUGUUAACAAUGGAUAUCUUGGUUCUC
rnacentral:misc_RNA from 1 species